AUUGAACGCUGGCGGCAGGCCUAACACAUGCAAGUCGAGCGAACGGCGGACGGGUGAGUAAGGUAUGGGGACCUGCCCGAUAGAGGGGUAUAACUACUGGAAACGGUGGCUAAUACCGCAUACUAUCGGUUGAACCCAUAGGGGAUUAGCUAGUAGGUGGGGUAAAGUCUCACCAUGGCGACGAUCUCUAGCUGGUCUGAGAGGAUGAUCAGCCACACUGGGACUGAGACACGGCCCAGACUCCUACGGGAGGCAGCAGUGGUGAAUAUUCGACAAGGGGCGCAAGCCUGAUGCAGCCAUGCCGCGUGUAUGAAGAAGGCCUUAGGGUUGUAAAGUACUUUCAGCAGGGAGGCGGUACCUGCAGAAGAAGCACCGGCUAACUCCGUGCCAGCAGCCGCGGUAAUAC
rnacentral:rRNA from 1 species